rnacentral:rRNA from 1 species
UGGUGGCGAGUGGACGAACGGGUGAGUAAUAUAUCGGAACGUGCCCAGUCGGUGGGGGAUAACGCAGACGAAAGCUGUGCUAAUACCGCAUACGAUCUAUGGAUGAGAGGCGGGGGACUCGCAAGGGCCUCGCGCGAUUGGAGCGGCCGAUAUCAGAUUAGCUAGUUGGUGGGGUAAAAGCUCACCAAGGCGACGAUCUGUAGCUGGUCUGAGAGGACGACCAGCCACACUGGAACUGAGACACGGUCCAGACUCC